rnacentral:rRNA from 1 species
UGGGGGAUAUUGCACAAUGGGCGAAAGCCUGAUGCAGCGACGCCGCGUGGGGGAUGAAGGCUUUCGGGUUGUAAACCUCUUUCGCUAUCGAACAAGGCCCGCUUAGGGUGGGUUGAGGGUAGGUGGAGAAGAAGCGCCGGCUAACUACGUGCCAGCAGCCGCGGUAAUACGUAGGGCGCGAGCGUUGUCCGGAAUUAUUGGGCGUAAAGGGCUUGUAGGCGGCUUGUUGCGCCUGCUGUGAAAACGCGGGGCUUAACUUCGCGCGUGCAGUGGGUACGGGCAGGCUUGAGUGUGGUAGGCGUGACUGGAAUUCCAGGUGUAGCGGUGGGAUGCGCAGAUAUCUGGAGGAACACCGAUGGCGAAGGCAGGUCACUGGGCCAUUACUGACGCUGAGGAGCGAAAGCAUGGGUAGUGAACAGG